rnacentral:tRNA from 1 species
GCCCCGGUGGCUUAGUGGUAUAGCGUGUCACUAGUAAUGACAAGAUCAUCAGUUCGAUUCUGGUUCGGGGCA